CAGGCCUAACACAUGCAAGUCGAGCGGUAGAGAGAAGCUUGCUUCUCUUGAGAGCGGCGGACGGGUGAGUAAUGCCUAGGAAUCUGCCUGGUAGUGGGGGAUAACGCUCGGAAACGGACGCUAAUACCGCAUACGUCCUACGGGAGAAAGCAGGGGACCUUCGGGCCUUGCGCUAUCAGAUGAGCCUAGGUCGGAUUAGCUAGUUGGUGAGGUAAUGGCUCACCAAGGCGACGAUCCGUAACUGGUCUGAGAGGAUGAUCAGUCACACUGGAACUGAGACACGGUCCAGACUCCUACGGGAGGCAGCAGUGGGGAAUAUUGGACAAUGGGCGAAAGCCUGAUCCAGCCAUGCCGCGUGUGUGAAGAAGGUCUUCGGAUUGUAAAGCACUUUAAGUUGGGAGGAAGGGCAUUAACCUAAUACGUUGGUGUCUUGACGUUACCGACAGAAUAAGCACCGGCUAACUCUGUGCCAGCAGCCGCGGUAAUAC
rnacentral:rRNA from 1 species